rnacentral:lncRNA from 1 species
GGGGGGGGGGGGGGGGUCUGUUAUUCUGUAAACAUUUAAUUUUCACCCCAUUUUUCUCUAAUCUUUAAAAAAUUAACCCCUUUUUUCUCUAAUCUUCCAAAAAUUAACCCUUUUAUUCUCUAAUCUUCUAUUUUUUGACUCAUUAUUCUCUAAUCUUCAUUUUUUAAGGGCAUUAUUCUUUAAUCAUUUAACCCCAUCCAAACCCUCAUCUAUAG